AGUUCCAGAGGGAAGGAGCAAACCGCUUUGAGGAGUCCCUGCAUAAGAGACUAUUGGAUACUGAAGGGCUGUACUGCAGUGUCGGCUCUAGACUUGGCGAGGCCUUAGGCGAAACUCAUACAUGAGACCCCACGGAGAACACCAUUAUUGAAGAAAAAAUAGCAGUUGACUUUGUGUAUAAGAAGCUGUAGAUAUAUUGAUGGUGGAGCUCAGUGGUGUAUCCUGGUUUUGUGCUGCCCUAGGCAGGACAAAACUCAGACGCCCCCCUCCCCCACCCCGCAUUCUAAAUACACACACACACACACAUACACAUUCACUGACAGAUAUGCAUACAUUAGCUAACAGAAACAGACACACUCACUAACAGACACAGUCAGACACACACGCACUAACAGACACACUCACACUCUCUAACAGACACACUCAAAUUUUUUUUUAAAUUUACACCCCCAGCCUCCUUACCUUUGCUAAUGCUGGGGGGUUCUCUAUCUCCCUGGGGUCUAGUGGGGCUUCCGGUCGGGCUGCUGGGGCGGCAGACGGGCAGCUGGCGAGGGAGCACUUCCUCUAAGUUGUCUGCUCAGCUCCCUCACGCGCUGCAUUGUGAGGCUGGGAGCCGGAAUAUGACGUCAUGUUCCGGCUACCAGCCUCACUCUGUGGCGCGCGAGGGAGGGAGGGUGAUGAGGUGAGGGGGUGAUGGUGAGGUGACCGUAAGAGGUGGGUGACAAGGGGUGAUGAGGUGAG